rnacentral:rRNA from 1 species
GUAUUGGCCUACCGUGGCAAUGACGGGUAACGGGGAAUUAGGGUUCGAUUCCGGAGAGGGAGCCUGAGAAACGGCUACCACAUCUAAGGAAGGCAGCAGGCGCGCAAAUUACCCAAUCCUAAUACAGGGAGGUAGUGACAAGAAAUAACAAUACAGGACUUUUUGGUUUUGUAAUUGGAAUGAGUUAAGUAUAAACCCCUUUACAAGUAUCAAUUGGAGGGCAAGUCUGGUGCCAGCAGCCGCGGUAAUUCCAGCUCCAAUAGCGUAUAUUAAAGUUGUUGCAGUUAAAAAGCUCGUAGUUGAAUUUCUGUUAAUAAUUUAUAUAUUAUACUUUUUAAGGUGUUUAUAUAAUAUUAACAUAAUUCAUAUUACUAUAUUUUUUUAGUAUAUGAAAUUUUACUUUGAGAAAAUUAGAGUGCUUAAAGCAGGCGUUAGCCUUGAAUACUCCAGCAUGGAAUAAUAUUAAAGAUUUUUAUCUUUCUUAUUGGUUCUAAGAUAAGAAUAAUGAUUAAUAGGGACAGUUGGGGGCAUUUGUAUUUAA